rnacentral:rRNA from 1 species
GACCUGCUCCAAUAGGCAAGGCUAAAUGGCCGCAGUACCUCUAACUGUGCAAAGGUAGCGUAAUCAUUUGCCUUAUAAUUGAAGGCUUGUAUGAAUGGUUUGUCAAGAUUUUGACUGUCUCUUUAAGUAGUUAUGAAAUUAAACUCUAAGUGUAAAUGCUUAGAUAGCUCUGUUGGACGAGAAGACCCUAUAGAGCUCUGUAUAGAAAUAUACUUAGUUGGGGCAACUGGCCAAUAAAAAUUUGGCUUUAACCUUGCGCUAAUAAGCGCAAAGCCUGAUCUUGAAUAAUCAAAAGAUAAAGUUACCUUAGGGAUAACAGCGCUAUGAUAAGAAACUAGUUCUUAUGGUUUCUUGCGAUUACGACCUCGAUGUUGAAUUAGAAUUCCCUGUAACAGCAGAAAUCUACAAGGUAGGUCUGUUCGACCUUUAAAAUUC